UGCUGAGACAGAAUACUUUAAACACAUUACGUUUUCACUUGUCUCGAUCUGCUUAUUGCUAAAGUAUGCGCUAAUUGCAGACCCGGAACUGAGCCGUAGGAUAAAAAUCCGGAAGCGACAAACCCGCUUGCAAACUAGCAAAUUGCCAGUUUCUUCCCAGCUCUAUGGUUCGAGUGUGACCUUUCUAUACUCUGGAGGACUCAGAAAGCGUGACCAAUGAGCCGAUCGCUCUUGCGAACGUGACAAGAGAACUGGCUUCCUAUUGGUCGGUAUCGAAAAAGCCCGCCCAACAGCUUCCGGAAGCCUUCUUUAAGUUAAGGUCUCGCGACCAUUUCUGCCUCUUAGCGACGGGCAGACCAGCGAGCGCUGCCCAGUGAACGACAGCAGACAGCAUGGAGCUCCAGCCUUUCCUCCCCAAGCCUCAGAAUAAAGUGCUUUGACUCCAA